GAUGAACGCUGGCGGCGUGCCUAAUACAUGCAAGUCGAGCGAACAGACGAGGAGCUUGCUCCUCUGACGUUAGCGGCGGACGGGUGAGUAACACGUGGAUAACCUACCUAUAAGACUGGGAUAACUUCGGGAAACCGGAGCUAAUACCGGAUAAUAUAUUGAACCGCAUGGUUCAAUAGUGAAAGACGGUUUUGCUGUCACUUAUAGAUGGAUCCGCGCCGCAUUAGCUAGUUGGUAAGGUAACGGCUUACCAAGGCAACGAUGCGUAGCCGACCUGAGAGGGUGAUCGGCCACACUGGAACUGAGACACGGUCCAGACUCCUACGGGAAGCAGCAGUAGGGAAUCUUCCGCAAUGGGCGAGAGCCUGACGGAGCAACGCCGCGUGAGUAAUGAAGGUCUUCGGAUCGUAAAACUCUGUUAUUAGGGAAGAACAAAUGUGUAAGUAGCUGUUCACGUCUUGACGGUACCUAAUCAGAAAGCCACGGCUAACUACGUG
rnacentral:rRNA from 1 species